rnacentral:rRNA from 1 species
UACGUAGGGUGCAAGCGUUAAUCGGAAUUACUGGGCGUAAAGCGUGCGCAGGCGGUUUUUUAAGACAGAGGUGAAAUCCCCGGGCUCAACCUGGGAACUGCCUUUGUGACUGCAAGGCUAGGGUACGGCAGAGGGGGAUGGAAUUCCGCGUGUAGCAGUGAAAUGCGUAGAUAUGCGGAGGAACACCGAUGGCGAAGGCAAUCCCCUGGGCCUGUACUGACGCUCAUGCACGAAAGCGUGGGGAGCAAACAGG